AUGACUGUCCGUGAAUAAGCAAUAAGGGAUAGAAUAUUAAUUUCUGGUAUUUCCAGACUCUGGAAUAUUAUACAGCUGAUAAAUAGAAAAAAAUUAGACCUAUAUGAUUUAUCUUAAAGACUAUUGGUUAUAGAAGCAAAAGCAAGUUUUAAAUAAAUUUGUUUAGAAUGA